rnacentral:rRNA from 1 species
CAGUCGCCACGGUAAUACGGAGGAUCCAAGCGUUAUCCGGAAUCAUUGGGUUUAAAGGGUCCGUAGGCGGUCUUGUAAGUCAGUGGUGAAAGCCCAUCGCUCAACGGUGGAACGGCCAUUGAUACUGCAGGACUUGAAUUAUUGGGAAGUAACUAGAAUAUGUAGUGUAGCGGUGAAAUGCUUAGAGAUUACAUGGAAUACCAAUUGCGAAGGCAGGUUACUACCAAUUGAUUGACGCUGAUGGACGAAAGCGUGGGUAGCGAACAGGAUUAGAUACCCCGGUAGUCCCUGUCUCUUAUAC